rnacentral:rRNA from 1 species
AGCAGUGGGGAAUAUUGGACAAUGGGCGAAAGCCUGAUCCAGCCAUGCCGCGUGUGUGAAGAAGGCUUUCGGGUUGUAAAGCACUUUCAGCGAGGAAGAAAGCCUCUGGGCCAAUACCCCAGAGGAAGGACAUCACUCGCAGAAGAAGCACCGGCUAACUCCGUGCCAGCAGCCGCGGUAAUACGGAGGGUGCGAGCGUUAAUCGGAAUUACUGGGCGUAAAGCGCGCGUAGGUGGCUUGGCACGCCGGUUGUGAAAGCCCCGGGCUCAACCUGGGAACUGCAUCCGGAACGGCCAGGCUAGAGUGCAGGAGAGGAAGGUAGAAUUCCCGGUGUAGCGGUGAAAUGCGUAGAGAUCGGGAGGAAUACCAGUGGCGAAGGCGGCCUUCUGGCCUGACACUGACACUGAGGUGCGAAAGCGUGGGUAGCAAACAGGAUUAGAUACCCUGGUAGUCCACGCCGUAAACGAUGUCGACUAGCCGUUGGGACCUUUAAGGACUUAGUGGCGCAGUUAACGCGAUAAGUCGACCGCCUGGGGAGUACGGCCGCAAGGUUAAAACUCAAAUGAAUUGACGGGGGCCCGCACAAGCGGUGGAGCAUGUGGUUUAAUUCGAUGCAACGCGAAGAACCUUACCUACCCUUGACAUCCAGAGAAGUUGGCAGAGAUGCCUUCGUGCCUUCGGGAGCUCUGAGACAGGUGC